rnacentral:rRNA from 1 species
UACGUAGGGUGCGAGCGUUGUCCGGAAUUACUGGGCGUAAAGAGCUCGUAGGUGGUUUGUCGCGUUGUUCGUGAAAACUCACAACUCAAUUGUGGGCGUGCGGGCGAUACGGGCAGACUGGAGUACUGCAGGGGAGACUGGAAUUCCUGGUGUAGCGGUGGAAUGCGCAGAUAUCAGGAGGAACACCGGUGGCGAAGGCGGGUCUCUGGACAGUUCCGUGACGCUGAGGCACGAAGGCCAGGGGAGCAAACGGG